rnacentral:lncRNA from 1 species
GCCAUUUAUUAUUAUUAUUACUUGUGUUCUAGUGCUCAAUGUUUGUUAGGUGUUUAUAAAGUAACACAGAAUGAAUGAUCUUUCCUCUCAAAUCUAGAUCUAUCAAAUUAUCCUUUAAAAAUGAUGCUCACCCAGCCUACUCCUGUCCCAUGUUCCCGUGCUGUAGUACCAAAUGAUCACAUAUCCAGGACAUCCCCAAGCUAACCAGCACCUUUAUUCUGGCUCUAGGAUCCCAUGCCCCAGGUGCAGCUGCAAGGCCCCUUGACCAGCUGUGUCUGGCCAGGAGGACAAGGGAGGCCCCAAGGCUGAGGAACAGCCAGCAGGACACACUGGCAAGGGGACUGCCCCACUGCAGCUCUGCAUCCCAGCGGGUCCCUUGUCCCCUGAUCCACUACUUCAAGGAGGCAAUGGGCCACAGGAACUUCGUCGCAUGUCCAGAUUCAGGGACAAAGCAGUAGGUGAUGAAGAUGGCGAGAGGUCUGAAAGUUUCAAAAUCCAAAAUUGGAUUUCAUGCAGUACAGGAGAACAAAGAAAGAAUUCUGGAAAAACAGCAUUUCACAAUUGUUUGAGGGCUGAAGCCAGGUUCACGCCAGGAUUCCUAUCCUUCUGUGGCCCCGGUAAAGAGUGCUCAUAUCUUAAGUAUACAUCUCCCCAGGUCCCUUGACAAGCUCUUGACAGCACACUAACAGGCCACAUCCAGAUCUCUGGGAAACACUCUAGUACAUGGAAGAAAAUGAGUCAGCAACAGAAAACUGGCACCAUCAGCUUCUGCAGCAACACCUUACAGGAGGCUUGGGAUACCAAGGGGAGUCCACCUGCAUAGCACAAGCAGCAAGUAUCAGAGACAAAACAGAUCAGUUGUCUUCAUUUAUUUCUGUGUUAAGUAAGAUCAACCCAGUGUUUUCUGAUGAGUAUAUAUUUCAUUCAUUUAUUUAUUUGCUUGAGAAAAAAAAAAAAAGAUUGCCUUUCUUUGAACUUUUCUGCAUGACAGAAUUGAAUGACAACAACUACAGUCAGUCCAGUUUUAAUAUAUUUCCAAGAUGGAAAUUAGUUGUUCAGGAG